AGAGUAGCAUUGGAGGGCAGUCUGGUGCCAGCAGCCGCGGUAAUUCCAGCUCCAAUAGCGUAUAUUAAACUUGUUGCAGUUAAAAAGCUCGUAGUUGAAUUUUAGCGUGGCCGAGUUUGCCAUUCGUUUGGCUUUUUUGGCUUCGCUUUUGGGUUUUCCCUUUUUACUUUGAGAAAAUUAGAGUGUUUCAAGCAGGCUUUUGUCUUGAAUACUUCAGCAUGGAAUAAUAGAGUAGGACUUUGGUUCUAUUUUGUUGGUUAUUGAACCUUGGUAAUGGUUAAUAGGAACGUUGGG
rnacentral:rRNA from 1 species